rnacentral:hammerhead_ribozyme from 1 species
AUUCAGCCGAAGAGUCCUAAAUAGGACGAAAUGCGAAUCCUGGUGGAU